AGAAUUUAUCUCCCCUUUGGUAUGAGUCAGCAACGUCAUCACCCAACGUCGACUUCAUUCAUUUCAACUACGAGACUUCAAUCACUAAUUAACAAACCACUUUACUCAAGUUCCAUUGGAAUGUUGACAUCAUUUAACCCCAUGUUGACUCUCAUUUGACAGAUCGAUAAUCAGAGACUUUCCAGCUGUGAUUAUCUCAUCUUUUUCUUUUUUUUUCUUUUCAGACUACAUCCUCCAGUCUGUUUUUUCUCAAAAUUUGGGUGCGAUUUGAAAAAGGAAAUUUGGUUGAUUUUUCUAAUAUUUUGAGCGACCACUUAGAAGCUCUCUCUGAAGCUAAAAUGCAAUUCAACUGGAAUGCGAUCGAAACUAACAUAUUUCUAAUUGGAAUUUAUGAGAAACAUGUUAAAGAAACUGAAUGUUGAUGCGUGCACACACCCCAGAGAUCAAUUUAGCCACGAAGUUUGCGUCCAUGGGUCUAACAUACGAACAAAUCCCAACGUGUGUACUAAAUUAUGAAGGGUUUGCACGAAAAGAAAGAACUAAUAUUGAUUUCAAAUUUUGGCACAAGGCCAGCAAUUUCGGGAGAAGAGAAAAUUACAUUGUCUACAACGAUCAACUGGUACCUACUUUUUCGACCUCGAAAGAAUGAGAAGCAAAGUUGAUCCUGACAGAAUUUGAACACAGAAAGUUAAAACGGACUAAACGCCGCUCAGCAUUUUGCUUGGGCGACAAACGAUUCUGCCAGCUUUCCGCCUUAGGAAGGACUAUUAACAGCAUUAAGCUUGUUUAUAUCAUAGGGUAGCAAUAGCGUGUCUAUGUAUUACUAAUGUAUAACUAAUGAGUAUAUGUAUUACUAAUUUUCGUAAUUGUUUUAAUUUAUGUUGACCCUCUUUGAAUAAAUUGACCUGUUAUCUUUUCCUUUCACCUUAUUUAAAAAUAAUUAUACGUACACCCAAACAAUUUCUUACAGAAAUAAUGAUGCAAACUCUAGUAAAAUAUUUGUGCCCUUUACA